CCUGGUGAACGUGGUGUGGUGGCUGGCCUGGUGCCUGCGGAACCGGCGGAGGCUGCCACACGUGCGCAAGUGCGUGGUAGUGGUCCUGCUGCUACAGGGCCUGUCCCUGCUUGAGCUGCUCGACUUCCCGCCCCUCUUCUGGGUCCUGGAUGCCCAUGCCAUCUGGCACAUCAGCACCAUCCCCGUCCAUGUCCUCUUCUUCAGCUUUCUGGAAGAUGACAGCCUGUAUCUGCUGAAGGAAUCAGAGGCCAAGUUCAAGCUGGACUGAAGGCCCUGGGAGCGGUCUGCCCCACUGGGGAGCCUGCCCUCUCCCUGCUGGCUCCCCUUCUCCCCAUAAUCCUUGAGAUGAUUUUUCCCUUUUAACAUCUUGAACUUGGACAUGAAGGGUAUGGGCCCAGAAUCACGUAACUGCCCAUCCCCUUGCUCGCCCGCACACGGCCCUCACAGGUCUCGGAGUCUGUUCAGGCUUGGCCUGUCAGCAUCUGGGGUUGGAGAAUGGUUCCUGGCGAACCGGCGUGGAACUGUGUCCUUAGCUCCACCGAGAGGAGAGCUGCCUCUGCCGCUCCAUCAGCCUCUUCCCCACAUCCCCUCACCGCCUGGGUGGUGCCCACAGCUGUCUGUCUAGCUGGGAGACCAGGUUCCACGGGCCUUUGGGGGCACAGUGGGGCCCCUUCCGUUACCCCCUGCCCUCCUUCAGGGCACCACUAGGUGGCACUAGACUCUUGCUCUUUGGCUGCCCAAGUUCCAAGGCAGGUCUCCUCCCCUUGGGAUCUUGAGGGACCAAGCUGCUGGGAUUGGGCAGUGGUCUCACCCGGACUGUUGUCUCAGCCCGGCCCCCAGGAGACCCCCACUGUCUCACUCCCCAGAGAGCCCAGGACAGGAGUCCUCUGGUCAGGAGCCUGCACGUGAGUGUGUAAGGGAGCGAGAACGAGACUGAGAGCAUCGGGCAUUGGACUGAGCGCAUGGGAUGCUGGGUGGGACAGUGUAUGAGCCUGUGUGGAGAGUGGGGUGGGACGGGAGUGGUUUGAAAGUGUGUGUGUUGCGGGACAAGUGGGGGAGCGUGGGUCAGGGCAGUAUGCAUAGACUGGGUGUGAGGUGAGUGUGAGUGCCGUGAGUGUACCACGCAGUGUGGGGAGGGUGGAGAAAAAUGGGGGAUCAGGUUACCACCAACAACUAUCUAUCAAGCACCAGCUCCAGGGCCCCAGGCCAGGCAGGGGGCCCGGAUGUCCUCAAGGUCUGGCUCGGCGGGGUACGGGUGUCCAGGCUGCAUGUGGGUGUCCCUGUCCGUGGCCCCCACGUUACAGUCCACCUCCAAAUCUCAGCGGACCCACGCACAACUCAGAUCACCCUCCAGAACCAGCCUUUAGGGAGACAAAGGGAGGAAGGGCCACAGGGAUCUUGGGGGCCUCUCCAGCCUUCCUGUUGCCUAGGCUUCGUUGGCCUUCCCCUCCCCCAGUGCCCUACCUGCUAAGCCCCUUUGUCACAGCCUGGACCUUGGGAAGGGGGGGCAAUCUGAGGGAGUAGGGGGAGAAGGCCUGUGGCUGGGUCUGGUUUCUGGCCUUCCCGGAGGCACCCCGGGGUGCACCCCGGUAAAGGUGUAUCUGCACCCCGGUAUCUGCACCCCGGUAAAGGUGACCCCUGCUAGCAGCCAGCACCCCGAACACAUUCCUGCUCCACAAGGAUAGAAUGUGGGGCUCCAGAAACUUUCCAUCCAAAGGCAGUCUCUGCGAUUGGAGCAGGGAGCCUGGAUUCUUAUUCUUUCCCUGCCCCCUUGUCCCUCUCUGCGGUGUAGAGGUGCUAUGCUAGGACUCCAACCUCAGACUUGGGUGGCCCAUGUUUCUUUUGAUAUUGAGAACUAUUUUAAGGUAGGAGGAUAGCAAGGGACAUUCCUAAUAAACCAAUUCUCAGCCUCA